UUGCGCUAAUGCGCGAAAGCGUGACGCAGCGACGCCGCGUGGGGGAUGAAGGCCCUCGGGUUGUAAACCCCUUUCGGCAGGGACGAAGGGAAACCGACGGUACCUGCAGAAGAAGUCCCGGCUAACUACGUGCCAGCAGCCGCGGUAACACGUAGGGGACGAGCGUUGUCCGGAUUCAUUGGGCGUAAAGCGCGCGUAGGCGGCUCGGAAAGUCGGGCGUGAAAUGCCGGGGCUCAACCCCGGGACUGCGUCCGAUACUUCCGAGCUGGAGGUAGGUAGGGGAGAUCGGAAUUCCUGGUGUAGCGGUGAAAUGCGCAGAUAUCAGGAGGAACACCGGUGGCGAAGGCGGAUCUCUGGGCCUUACCUGACGCUGAGGCGCGAAAGCUAGGGGAGCGAACAGGAUUAGAUACCCUGGUAGUCCUAGCCGUAAACGUUGGGUGCUAGGUGUGGGCGGACAUCGACCCCGUCCGUGCCGAAGCUAACGCAUUAAGCACCCCGCCUGGGGAGUACGGCCGCAAGGCUAAAACUCAAAGGAAUUGACGGGGGCCCGCACAAGCGGCGGAGCAUGCGGCUUAAUUCGAUGCGACGCGAAGAACCUUACCUGGGCUUGACAUGCAGGGCAAAGCCGGUGAAAGCCGGCGCUCUACGGAGCCUGCACAGGUGGUGCAUGGCUGUCGUCAGCUCGUGCCGUGAGGUGUUGCCUUAAGUGGCGCAACGAGCGCAACCCUUGUCCUUAGUUGCCAGCGGGUAAAGCCGGGAACUCUAGGGAGACUGCCGGUGCCAAACCGGAGGAAGGUGGGGAUGACGUCAAGUCAUCAUGCCCCUUAUGUCCAGGGCUGCACGCAUGCUACAAUGCGCGGUACAAAGGGCUGCGAUCCCGUAAGGGGGAGCGAAUCCCAAAAAGCCGCGCUCAGUUCGGAUCGGGGUCUGCAACCCGACCCCGUGAAGUCGGAGUCGCU
rnacentral:rRNA from 1 species